AGUGAAGUGACAAAACCCACAUUGAGCCGCUUAUUCAAACAGAAGUGAUUAUAGCAAAGUGAAAACAGGAGACCUGUCUGUGGUCUGCAGGAGGAACAAUAUAGUGGAGCAGGUGUGCGAGUCUUUGCCUUUGCAUAGCCAUACCACAGCACUAAAAGGUUGGUUUACUCCACAACCUCAGGAGUUCAUGACCAUCGGCACUGUUGCUAUUGUUCGCCGCUUAUGCGAAGGUAUUUACUAAUGGGCUUGUCUUCAUCCCACCCGUGUGAGAAAAGGACGAGUUUGCGAGGGCUUCUAUCAGCGGCCAUAGAUAUGAAAGAAGAGCAGAGUGACAGGGUGAAUGGAGAGAAAAGAAGCAUUGUGAAUUGCAUGGGCGAGGAAUACUUCAGUUGAGGGUAUUGACCAGGUGUAGGUGAAGUAGGCAGUCGCCUAAGGCACCACCAGCUGGGAGGGUAGCAAUGAGGAGGCCACCACCACAAAAACAACGCCCCCUGCCCCUGGCCCUCGACGGGGGUACCAGUAGGGAUCUCACCUAUGGUACCAAAAUGGUCAGAAACUACCCUGUUGACAAAAAAAAAUAUUUGUGUUUUGUUCUAUCUCGUAUGAGUGGCUUAUCUGUGACUCUUUACUCCCAAAGAUGACAUCCUUCCCCCCUUUAGCUACUGACUUUCAAUUUGCAACAUGGGCACAGCCUCUUCCAGUUAUAUUCUUCUAUUUCUCUUGUACUCACUUCUCAUCUUGUAUGUGUCACUUACUAGAAAUCUCAAAUGGCGAUGCAAGUGUACAAUAAAUGUGUCCUAUAUGUGUCCUAUAUAUUUUUAGGUACUGUGUACUGUGUAUAUGGACUGCAUUAUUUUGCUUGUGUCAGGUCAGUGAGAAAUCCAUCAAUCAAUAACCUCAAACAUUUGU